UAAUACAUGCAAGUCGAACGAACUUCCGUUAAUUGAUUAUGACGUACUUGUACUGAUUGAGAUUUUAACACGAAGUGAGUGGCGAACGGGUGAGUAACACGUGGGUAACCUGCCCAGAAGUAGGGGAUAACACCUGGAAACAGAUGCUAAUACCGUAUAACAGAGAAAACCGCAUGGUUUUCUUUUAAAAGAUGGCUCUGCUAUCACUUCUGGAUGGACCCGCGGCGUAUUAGCUAGUUGGUGAGGUAAAGGCUCACCAAGGCAGUGAUACGUAGCCGACCUGAGAGGGUAAUCGGCCACAUUGGGACUGAGACACGGCCCAGACUCCUACGGGAGGCAGCAGUAGGGAAUCUUCCACAAUGGACGCAAGUCUGAUGGAGCAACGCCGCGUGAGUGAAGAAGGGUUUCGGCUCGUAAAGCUCUGUUGUUAAAGAAGAACGUGGGUAAGAGUAACUGUUUACCCAGUGACGGUAUUUAACCAGAAAGCCACGGCUAACUACGUGCCAGCAGCCGCGGUAAUACGUAGGUGGCAAGCGUUAUCCGGAUUUAUUGGGCGUAAAGCGAGCGCAGGCGGUCUUUUAAGUCUAAUGUGAAAGCCUUCGGCUCAACCGAAGAAGUGCAUUGGAAACUGGGAGACUUGAGUGCAGAAGAGGACAGUGGAACUCCAUGUGUAGCGGUGAAAUGCGUAGAUAUAUGGAAGAACACCAGUGGCGAAGGCGGCUGUCUGGUCUGCAACUGACG
rnacentral:rRNA from 1 species